GCCAGUAUUUGCAGAAACAAUUGUUGUCAGUUCGGUCGAUUUUUGUGGGGGUGCGCACGUUUAGGAGGUUAUGAAAGGGCUUUUUGUAAUGCACUAACUGAUACAUGCAGCGCGCAAAAAUAAUUCUACAUAAAAUUCCCAAAUGUUUUUAUUCAUAUGUACAUAUUCAUUUCAUAAAGAUGAAAGUCUUUGACCUUA